rnacentral:rRNA from 1 species
AGCUCCAAUAGCGUAUAUUAAAGUUGUUGCGGUUAAAAAGCUCGUAGUUGGAUUUCUGCCAAAAGCGACCGGCCCUUCCAUUGGUUGGCGCCAGGUUCGACUUGCGGCAUCCUUUUGGCAAACAAUGAUGUUCUUAGCUGAAUCACAUUGUGACCCAAAACUUUUACUUUGAGGAAAUUAGAGUGUUUCACGCAGGCUUACGCCUUGAAUAUUUAGCAUGGAAUAAUAAGAUAGGACUGUGUUUCUACUUGUUGGUUCUAGAGAUUCAGUAAUGAUUAAUAGGAGCAGUCGGGGGCAUUCGUACUUAACAGUCAGAGGUGAAAUUCUUGGAUUUGUUAAAGACGACCUACUGCGAAAGCAUUUGCCCAGGAUGUUUUCAUUGAUCAAGAACGAAAGUAGG